rnacentral:rRNA from 1 species
AACGAACGCUGGCGGCAGGCUUAACACAUGCAAGUCGAACGAGCUGGGGGCUUCGGUCUCCGAUGCUAGUGGCGCACGGGUGAGUAACACGCGGGAAUAUGCUCUUUAGUACGGAAUAACCAAGGGAAACUUUGGCUAAUACCGUAUACGCUCUUCGCGUGAAAGAUUUAUUGGUAAAGGAUUAGCCCGCGUUUGAUUAGGUAGUUGGUGAGGUAAUGGCUCUUCAAGCCGACGUUCAGUAGCUGGUCUGAGAGGAUGAUCAGCCACACUGGGAGUGAGACACGGACCAGACUCCUACGGGAGGCAGCAGUGGGGAAUAUUGGACGAUGGGGGCGAGCCUGAUCCAGCCAUGCCGCGUGAGUGAGGAAGGCCUUCGGAUUGUAAAGCUCUUUCGACGGGGACGAUGAUGACGGUACCCGUAUAAGAAGCCCCGGCAAACUUCGUG